CCAGUGAUGAGUUUUUAAAAGUCUGAUGUUUUGUGAGGUAAAAAAAACAAAUAUCCUCUAAGAAGUUCUGAUGGGA
rnacentral:snoRNA from 1 species